rnacentral:misc_RNA from 1 species
GAUUCAUGACUGGGGUGAAGUCGUAACAAGGUAGCCGUAGGGGAACCUGCGGCUGGAUCACCUCCUUAAUUAUAGAGAUAAAGGUACGACGAGAGCUCAAAGCACCCACACAGUUUGUUUUCAAAAUUAUAAUGCAAAGCAACAGAACGCCGAAGCAAAAAAAUUGGGUCUGUAGCUCAGUUGGUUAGAGCGCACCCCUGAUAAGGGUGAGGCCGGUGGUUCAAGUCCACCCAGACCCACCAGUCAGUGGCUUUGCAAGGAUUGUCAAGACCAAAGUAAUUUUAGCCUUUAGGGGUUGAGAUUAUUUUUGUCUGGAAUAUCCGGAAGUUCAUUAACAAUUUGGUAAAGAAAUAGAGGUAACACAAGCGAAUUAGUAUUGUCCUUGUUGUAUAACCGAGGCCUGGAUUUUAUUUAAGGGGUUUUUUGAAGGGCCCUUUAAAGGGAAUCGUUUGCCAGCAUUUAUCCGUUAAUCGAUGCGAAUUGAGAGCGAGUAAGGGAAGAGGGUGUUGGCAAGAGGUGGUUGAGGUUAUAUGGUCAAGAAGAG